UUUUUUUAAACCAACCGUUGGGUUACACAUAUUGGGUCAAUGGGUUAUCUUAAAAUUUGUUGGGUAUUUUCUUUUUUUUCUUUUUUUGUCGUUGGGUUAAGAUAUAACCCGACUGUUGGGUUAAAUAUGUUUCCUGCUUCACUCCUGUUCAAAUUUUAACGGUCCAGUCAGAGACUCAGUGGCAGUCUGCCUGAUGGGUAAGAAACUGUUAAUAUAAUCGUAUGAUGUAUAUAACUUUCAUAACAUUAAGUAAUGUGUCUGUGUCCGUUAAUUCUUGUUUUUUUAUACGUUAAAAAAGUUUUAAUUCCCUUUAGUCCAUUUGCUUCCCUCAGAUAAUCAGAUCGAUUGUAAAUGAAUGCUAUUCCUGUUUGUUCGCCAGCAUUAAUACACUAAAAUAUUAGCUGCAAAAAAAUGUUUAGACAAGUAUUACUUAAAGUUAAUAAAAAUGUUAGAAAAGCCGCUCGGACCAUUUAUCGGAUCGGACCAGUGAAAGAAGCUGCUCGAGCUGAGCUCACACAUCAGUCAUGUGACAGACAGCAGACUCCGCAAGAAUCGUUUGAAUGAACCUGCAAUUUUCUGUUAUAAAAGUUAAAAACCCAGACGAAAGAAAAGCGCGCAGUCGUGAGGUAAUCCCAUCUUUCAGCUGAAAUUUAUACCAGUGCCCCAAAUUUACAUAGCAUUAAUGUUACUCCUACAACCAACCUUUAAGAGGGGAGCGUAAAACAGCACUAAUUAACUGUACUGUAAAAGUGUUUUUAUGAUUUAUUCAUUUUGAAUAUUGUUAUGCAUCUAUUAGAAUACCCUAUAAUUACAGCAAUUUCUCUUAUGAUGCUAGAUUGACUGACAUGUUUUUUAAAUGUAUUGUACUAAAUGUGUUUAUACUUAUGUUUUAGACAAUGGAUUUUUUCGUGAAGGAAAAAUUGCAACAAUAGAAUUUCUGCCUGUAAACUGAAACAUUUCAAGGCCUUCAUGCAGAAAUUGUCUUUAAAACCCUUCCUGCCAUCUGCUCCAUACCACACAAAUGGAAGAAUUGUGUGCACAUCAUACACGGAAACGAAGCGGUCCUUCAUUGACAUUCAACCUGUUGGGACUAAUUAGUGCUGUACUUGUAUCAUGAGACAAGCCAGAAUCCACAUGUCCUGGUGCUUGGUGACAAGGAAAACUCCCAAGAUUUUAUUAUUUUAAACGGGGAGGCGAUGGAACAGUAGACGAUACUACAAGCAGUCGAUCUGUGUUACAAACUUUUCUUUGUACAGGUCCUUCUAAAAUAAUUAGCAUAUUGUGAUAAAAGUUCAUUAUU